AGUGAACGCUGGCGGUAGGCCUAACACAUGCAAGUCGAACGGCAGCACAGUAAGAGCUUGCUCUUACGGGUGGCGAGUGGCGGACGGGUGAGGAAUACAUCGGACUCUACUUUUUCGUGGGGGAUAACGUAGGGAAACUUACGCUAAUACCGCAUACGACCUACGGGUGAAAGCAGGGGAUCUUCGGACCUUUCGCGAUUGAAUGAGCCGAUGUCGGAUUAGCUAGUUGGCGGGGUAAAGGCCCACCAAGGCGACGAUCGGUAGCUGGUCUGAGAGGAUGAUCAGCCACACGGGAACUGAGACACGGUCCAGACUCCUACGGGAGGCAGCAGUGGGGAAUAUUAGACAAUGGGCGCAAGCCUGAUCCAGCCAUACCGCGUGGGUGAAGAAGGCCUUCGGGUUGUAAAGCCCUUUUGUUGGGAGAGAAAAGCAGCAGGUUAAGACCCCGCGGUUCUGACGGUACCCAAAGAAUAAGCACCGGCUAACUUCGUG
rnacentral:rRNA from 1 species